rnacentral:rRNA from 1 species
GAUCCUGGCUCAGAUUGAACGCUGGCGGCAUGCCUUACACAUGCAAGUCGAACGGCAGCGGGGACUUCGGUCCGCCGGCGAGUGGCGAACGGGUGAGUAACGUAUCGGAACGUACCUUUCAGUGGGGAUAACGUAGCGAAAGUUACGCUAAUACCGCAUAUUCUGUGAGCAGGAAAGCGGGGGAUCGCAAGACCUCGCGCGAUUGGAGCGGCCGAUAUCAGAUUAGGUAGUUGGUGAGGUAAAGGCUCACCAAGCCAACGAUCUGUAGCUGGUCUGAGAGGACGACCAGCCACACUGGAACUGAGACACGGUCCAGACUCCUACGGGAGGCAGCAGUGGGGAAUUUUGGACAAUGGACGCAAGUCUGAUCCAGCCAUUCCGCGUGCAGGACGAAGGCCUUCGGGUUGUAAACUGCUUUUGUACAGAACGAAAAGGUCUCUAUUAAUACUAGGGGCUCAUGACGGUACUGUAAGAAUAAGCACCGGCUAACUACGUG